rnacentral:rRNA from 1 species
UACGAAGGGGACUAGCGUUGUUCGGAAUUACUGGGCGUAAAGGGCGCGUAGGCGGGAUGGCAAGUCGGUCGUGAAAUCCCUCGGCUCAACCGAGGAACGUCGAUCGAUACUGCUGUUCUUGAGGAUUGCAGAGGAGACUGGAAUUCCCGGUGUAGCGGUGAAAUGUGUAGAGAUCGGGAGGAACGACCGGUGGCGAAGGCGGGUCUCUGGGCAAUUCCUGACGCUGAGGCGCGAAAGCGUGGGGAGCAAACGGG